GGCCAAAUAGUUUAUAAAAAACGUUAGAUUGUAAAUCUAAAAAAAUGAAAAUUUUAGCCA
rnacentral:tRNA from 1 species